CCUUCGAGACUCUCCGUUUUUUCCCCCCUGUGGUAAGAGCACGGAGUUAAACCAGCUCCUUUGAGACUGAACAAGUGUCUAGUUCACUGACAGCUAAAGGUAGCAAAAUAAAAAAUUCUGAUUUCACUCCUAUAGGAAGGAACAGAGUAUAUAAAAAAGUUAAUGAAACUGAAGUUUCAAUCAAUAAUUUUGAAAAAUACGAGCUAAACAGGCUGUAUUUUUAAUAGAUAACUGGGUAUAUCUAUUGUGAUCGGAGAAUACAAAAAAAUAAAAAUUAAUGAAACGGAAGUUUCAAUAAAUAUUUUUGAAAAAUACGAGCUGGACAGGCUGUAUUUUAAUAGAUAACGAAAGAUGUAUAUCUAUUGUAAUUCAAAAAUAAAUAAUUUUCGCGACGGUGGCGUUUUUGAGGCCGGAACAUCGAAAGAAAAAAAUAAUAGUCCGAAACAUAGAAAGUUCUUAAUGGCUAGAAAUUGAAAAAAAACGUGGCAAAUAACUGUGACUGUGAAAAAAAAAAAAUAAAUUGGUUUAUGUGUGCCCACUGUGCCAGCAACAAUAACUGCAGCGACAUCAGCAGCAGCGACAUCAGCGACAGCGACUUCAGCAGCAUCGACAUCAGAAGCAGUGACAAUAGCUGCAGCGAUAUAAGCAGAGGCAACACCAGCAGCAGCGACAACGGUAUCAGCAGCAGCGACUUCAGCAGCAGUAACAACAACAGCAGAAGUAGAAUUCAUCAGCUAAGUCUCAUAUCUCAAUUUGUUCUUAAGCCUAAUUAAGUAAAAAAUUAAAGUAAGAUGUUAUCAGUACAAAGUUGAGAAAUGAGCCUCGUAGUUUUGUAGUUCAAUGUUCAUGUAUAUUGCUAUUGACCUAUUUACACGCUCAUGAUUGUAGUACACCGCCUAAGUAACUAUUUUUACGCGCAUAGCUGUGUUGUUGUUUUGCUCGUGUCCAGAACAUAACUGUAAUGUUCUCACACUCAUGGCCAGACCCGCAGCUGCACACGCACACAGCGAUGCGUUCCGUUGUUUGCAUUGAGACCGUCGCGUCGAGUCGUAUCGCGUGAUCUUCCAAUUCCCUUUUGCUCGACUUCUUUUCGCGGAGUUGAGUUAGUAGAAACUUCUAGACGAAACCGCCCGCACGCAUAUUUUCUACCGCCGCAGAAACGACCCCCCCGCUGUUCUUGUAAUAUAAUUGUACUAUAACCACCAAUAUUAACUAAUCAAAAAAAAUAAAUAAGCUCAAGAUAUAAAGGAUUAUACAGUCCACUAAUUCAAAAACAGGCAUAGAUACCCUACAUAUAGAAAAAACAGAGAAGAAAAAUGGUCACACUAUGAAAAGACAAGAAGGUCACAUUAGUUUGAGCAGUCGAUAAAAGAGCGGGGAGAAAAGACGAAGCGAAAUAAAACGCAACCAACGCCUAAGUACCGAUUAAGAUAAGCGAUUGUGUUUUAUCCGCAAUUCUCACGUUUCUGGACACAAUAUCUUUUAUUUCGCUCCUUGGAAGCCAAUGACCCUAGAGUUCUUAGAGUUUGUGUGAAGACGGGUGGAGACUCGUGGUGCAAGCACUGAAGUAUACUGGACAUUGGAGAAGCGACCGAACCCACAAGGAGACGGUCAUCUCGCUCGUGGGUGGACAAUAAACAUUGAAGAACACGAAGGCCAACGUGGGUGCGCACGUCAGGCAGCUGAAAAAGCGCACAUUUAUAUGUAUGUACAUAUGCGAGAUAUUGCAAAUACUGCCAUCUCGCUCUAUCCAACGAAGUUCUUACGGGCCAGCAACUAGAGGCUUGGGUGCGCAGUUGGCUGAUGAAAUCGAGUGAAAAUUUCUGGAUUCUGGUUUAUUUGGUAAGUGCCAAUUUGAUUGUUGAUUUGGGAAAAGGUACAUCUGCGGGUGAUGAUUACCAGAGCAAUGAGCAACGGAUGAAAUGGACGAGGAAACGUUUGAGAUGGGAAAAGUGGAAGGAGAAUCCGCGCAAGGUGAAGUCUCAAAUAUGGAGAGGGCCUGGGCCGGCACAUCAAAAGAAGCCCAAUGUGGCGCCAAAUGCAAGAAGGUCAGAGAGCCAAUGCAAAGCAAAUGCAGCAGUUCCAAAUGGAAGUUCUGUGGAUGAAUCAAAUUCAAAUGAAAAAACUAAUAUACUUCUGCGAUCCCUUGGUAUUAGUGGAAGGACAACUGGCGGACCAGGACCACAA